GAUGAACGCUGGCGGCGUGCUUAACACAUGCAAGUCGAACGGAAAGGCUCCUGCUUGCAGGGGUACUCGAGUGGCGAACGGGUGAGUAACACGUGGGUGAUCUGCCCUGCACUUCGGGAUAAGCCUGGGAAACUGGGUCUAAUACCGGAUAGGACCACAUUUUGGAUGGUGUGGUGGAAAGUUUUUCGGUGUGGGAUGAGCUCGCGGCCUAUCAGCUUGUUGGUGGGGUAAUGGCCUACCAAGGCGUCGACGGGUAGCCGGCCUGAGAGGGUGUACGGCCACAUUGGGACUGAGAUACGGCCCAGACUCCUACGGGAGGCAGCAGUGGGGAAUAUUGCACAAUGGGCGCAAGCCUGAUGCAGCGACGCCGCGUGGGGGAUGACGGCCUUCGGGUUGUAAACUCCUUUCGCUGGGGACGAAGCGCAAGUGACGGUACCUGGAGAAGAAGCACCGGCUAACUACGUG
rnacentral:rRNA from 1 species